rnacentral:rRNA from 1 species
AGUAUAUAAAUAUUAUGAAAGCAAAAAAUUAUGGCGGUAUCUUAAGCUUUUCAGAGGAAUUUGCUCUAUAAUGGAUAAAACACCUUAAUCUUACUUUAAUUGGUGUAAAAACAGUUUGUAUACCACUAUUAAAAUAAUAAUAUACAAUUAUUAUUAAAGUAUAUUAUUUAUGUAUUUAAAUAAAGUUAAGUCAAGGUGCAGCAAAAAUUAAAGUAUGAAGUGAAUUACACUGCUUUUUAGAUAAGAAAAUGAAAAUAAGUUUAGGAUUUGAAAGUAAAAUUAAAAUAGGAAGUUAAUUUGAAUUAAGCUCUAGGAUAUGUACAUA